rnacentral:rRNA from 1 species
UACAGAGGUCCCAAGCGUUGUUCGGAUUUACUGGGCGUAAAGGGUGCGUAGGUGGCGAGGUAAGUUCGAUGUGAAAUUUCGGAGCUUAACUCCGAAACUGCAUUCGAUACUGCGGUGCUUGAGGACUGGAGAGGAGACUGGAAUUCAUGGUGUAGCAGUGAAAUGCGUAGAGAUCAUGAGGAAGACCAGUGGCGAAGGCGGGUCUCUGGACAGUUCCUGACACUGAGGCACGAAGGCCAGGGGAGCAAACGGG